UAUGCUAGUAGUAUAUUGGAGUAUCCUGUCUUUCCAAGUCAGAGGUCCAUUUUUUGGUUAGCAUAG
rnacentral:tRNA from 1 species